CAGAUGAUGUUGUAAGGGAUAUCACUGCUUACCUGAAAGUACUAUUAAAGAAAAGCUUGAAAGGAUUCACAUCGACCAUGCCUGAUUCUCUAACCGGAAUCAAUGUCCAUAUUUGUCCGCCAGUAGAACUGAAAAUUUAACAAGGUUGACAGAGGUGGUAAUCUGCAACAAAUUGGUCCUUCGAGCCGGAUACUGGCAACAGCAAACAAUAUGGACACUGCAGCUAGUGAUGCAGUGGAGCCUGUGGCCAGACCCAAGAGACAAAGUAAACCACCUUCACAUCUGAGUGACUAUGAGGUUGGCUACAUACCUCCAGUGGACCCUCCUCCAAUCUCUUCUUCUCGCUGUCACAGCCAACAUAAGAGCCAAUCGAG